rnacentral:misc_RNA from 1 species
GAUGAAGAACGUAGUGAAAUGCGAUACUUGGUGUGAAUUGCAGAAUCCCGUGAACCAUCGAGUCUUUGAACGCAAGUUGCGCCCGAAGCCACUAGGCCGAGGGCACGCCUGCCUGGGCGUCACACGCCGUUGCCCCCCCAUCUACUCCUUCGGGAUUGCGGGGGGGCGGAUGAUGGCCUCCUGCGCGCCUAGCCGCGCGGUUGGCAUAAAUACCAAGUCCUCGGCGACGCACGCCACGACAAUCGGUGGUUGCGAAACCUCGGUUGUCCGUCGUGUGCGUUCGUCGCGCAUCGAGGGCUCGAAAAAAUGCUCGGCUCCGGCUGGGCUUUCAACGCGACCCCAGGUCAGGCGGGGUUACCCGCUGAAUUUAAGCAUAUCAAUAAGCGGAGGA